AUCCGAUGCUCAACAUCGGACCUGCAGUGGGUACGGGCAAGCUAGAGUGCGGCAGGGGAGAUGGGAAUUCCUGGUGUAGCGGUGGAAUGCGCAGAUAUCAGGAGGAACACCAAUGGCGAAGGCACAUCUCUGGGCCGUAACUGACGCUGAGGAGCGAAAGCGUGGGGAGCGAACAGGAUUAGAUACCCUGGUAGUCCACGCCGUAAACGGUGGGUGCUAGUUGUGGGCUCCAUUCCACGGAGUCCGUGACGAAGUUAACACAUUAAGCACCCCGCCUGGGGAGUACGGUCGCAAGACUAAAACUCAAAGGAAUUGACGGGGGCCCGCACAAGCAGCGGAGCAUGCGGAUUAAUUCGAUGCAACGCGAAGAACCUUACCAAGUCUUGACAUAUAGAGGAAAGUCGUAGAAAUACGAGCCCCGCAAGGUCUCUAUACAGGUGGUGCAUGGUUGUCGUCAGCUCGUGUCGUGAGAUGUUCGGUUAAGUCCGGCAACGAGCGCAACCCUCGUCUUAUGUUGCCAGCACGUUAUGGUGGGAACUCAUGAGAUACUGCCGUGGUCAACACGGAGGAAGGUGGGGAUGACGUCAAAUCAUCAUGCCCCUUAUGACUUGGGCUUCACGCAUGCUACAAUGGCCGAUACAAAGGGCUGCAAUACCGCAAGGUGGAGCGAAUCCCAAAAAGUCGGUCUCAGUUCGGAUUGGGGUCUGCAACUCGACCCCAUGAAGUUGGAGUUGCUAGUAAUCGUAGAUCAGCAACGCUACGGUGAGUACGUUCCCGGGCCUUGUACACACCGCCCGUCAAGUCACGAAAGUCGGUAAUACCCGAAGCCGGUGGCCUAACCGUAAGGAG
rnacentral:rRNA from 1 species